rnacentral:rRNA from 1 species
UACGGGGGGAGCAAGCGUUGUUCGGAUUUACUGGGCGUAAAGGGCGCGUAGGCGGUCAGCACAAGUCAGUUGUGAAAUCUCCGGGCUUAACUCGGAAAGGUCAACUGAUACUGUGCGACUAGAGUGCGGAAGGGGCAACUGGAAUUCUCGGUGUAGCGGUGAAAUGCGUAGAUAUCGAGAGGAACACCAGUGGCGAAGGCGAGUCCCUGGACAACACCUGACACUGAGGCACGAAAGCUAGGGGAGCAAACAGG